AUGUGCGGCACUCCAGGGGAGACAUUCCGAGAAUUCCCUCUCGGCAAAAUGCUUUUAAGACUUGGCUCCAUGCCCUCGGCAGUGGGGUCCGUGGGGACAUUUGAGCGUCUCCUUGGCGACGAUCACAGGGCGCUUGUCAUUUCCACAAUCGGUGAGCUCCUGGCUGGUUUCCUGUCCCCGCUGCGGGCCGGGUGCCCACCCCCCCCCCCCAGCAGGAGUGACACUGAGGGGCAGCCAGCCCUGGGGGUGGGGCCGUGCCACAUGCCUCCCUGUGGUGCGGGUCGGGCACCUGGCAGGCUGGGUGCCAGCAGGUGCUCAGCGGCGGGAGGGCCUCACUUUGUCUUCAGGGCACCACACAGAGGACGGCAUCACCCCGUUUUCAGAGUGAGGAGCCUGAGUUCAGAGGCUGAGUCAUGUGUCCGGGGCCACACAGGGAGGAAGUGGCAGGGCCAGAGUCUGACCCCAGGGGGCAUCGGCUCCAAAGCCGUGUUGUUUCCACCACCUCUUAUAAAGCAAACAAAUUCCCCUCAAAAGAGAAAACCGUUAGAGGCUGGAAAGGAAGGGGUCCCGUUUCUCAAGUGCGUGGGCAAAGAUCUGUCCCAAGAAGAUGAAUUGCCUUUUGUGUUCUGCAGCCCGGGAGACGUGGACUCUUUCAGACCCACAGGGGGAGGAAGUUCACUCAGGGUUCACUCGAGGAACUUCUGUGGAGCUUCUGCUCCGUCCCGGGCCCUUUCUGGGGCAGAUAUGGGGUCCUGUCCCAGUGGCUGCUGCAGUGGCCAGGGAAUCAGAUCACCGUCCCGCAGACGCCCGCCAAGGAGGGGCCAAGGGGCCAUCUCCAUACCCCCAGCCCCAAGCAGGGCAUUCCAGGCUCCCCACCUCCCAACCGACCUGUCCGCAGGAUGUGCCCUCGAAUCCCACCUGGUGACGGGCCCGUCCAGGGCCCUGAGUCAUGCCACUGUGCAGGGAGGGGACGCCUUGGGUCUGAGGCAGGGCUUGGCAGCCUGCUGGGGACCAGCCAGCCUGCCAGGAGCCUGCCCUGGGCCACCCUAA
rnacentral:lncRNA from 12 species